rnacentral:misc_RNA from 1 species
AAGUCGUAACAAGGUUUCCGUAGGUGAACCUGCGGAAGGAUCAUUACGAAAUUAUAGGCCGGUCUGACCGGUCCUAUUCUACCCUGUUUUUUGCGCACCUUUUGUUUCCUCGGUAGGCAUUGCCUGCCGAUAGGACCCCCUUUUAAACUCUGUUGUUUAUUAGUAGUCAGCGUCAAAUUAUUUUUACAAAAUUGUAACAACUUUCAACAACGGAUCUCUUGGUUCUGGC